GAUGCUGGUGGUCCUGCUCACAGCAGCCUUGCUGGUUCUGAGCUCAGCUCAUGGCUCAGAUGAAGAGGUCAUCUAUGAAGACUCAUCUUCUCAACUCUUAGAUGUAGAGCAGCAGAACCAGAAACAUGGUCAACAUCAUCAGAAACCACCUCCUGCUUCUGAUGAAAACGGUGAUGGUGAUGAUAGCGAUGAUGGUGAUGAUGAUGGCAGUGGGGAUGACGGAAAUAGACCAGAGAGACCACCACCACACGGAGGCAAUCACCAGCGUCCUCCUCCAGGACACCACCAUGGUCCACCCCCAUCAGGAGGCCCUCAGACAUCCUCACAGCCUGGAAACCCACAAGGCCCACCCCCACAGGGUGGUCCUCAGGGACCCCCUCAGCCUGGAAACCCACAAGGCCCACCCCCACAGGGAGGACACCAGCAGAGACCCCCUCAGCCUGGAAAACCACAGGACCCAGCCCAGGACGCAACCCAUGAACAGCCAAGUUACCUAUGGUCAUUUUUUGCAUAACCAUCUGAUUCCUUA
rnacentral:lncRNA from 1 species